AAAAAAGUGAGUUAGUUAUGGCAAUAUUUACAAAAUCAGUCCAUCAUCUGAGAACUGAGAAGUAAGAAUCUUGCUGCUCUAGCCCUUCAGAAAAUUGCUUAGAUGCAUGUAGUUGCUAAUAUAUUUAAGUACUAUAAAGAUCAACAACUUCCUUAUCAUAUCAUAUUAUGGUGGGCUGAAGAUCUUUGAUAAAGUAUUAAUUAAU
rnacentral:misc_RNA from 1 species